rnacentral:rRNA from 1 species
UACGUAGGGUGCAGGCGUUAAUCGGAAUUACUGGGCGUAAAGCGUGCGCAGGCGGUUUCUUAAGUCAGAUGUGAAAGCCCCGGGCUUAACCUGGGAACUGCGUUUGAAACUGGGAGACUUGAGUGUGGCAGAGGGGGGUGGAAUUCCACGUGUAGCAGUGAAAUGCGUAGAUAUGCGGAGGAACACCGAUGGCGAAGGCAGCCCCCUGGACCUGUACUGACGCUCAUGCACGAAAGCGUGGGGAGCAAACAGG